rnacentral:rRNA from 1 species
AUGCAAGUCGUACGAGAACACUCUAGCUUGCUAGGGUAAGUAAAGUGGCGCACGGGUGAGUAACGCGUGGGUAAUCUACCUUCGAAUUGGGGAUAACGUUGCGAAAGCGACGCUAAUACCGAAUAAUAUCUAAUAUUCCUUGGAAUGUUGGAUCAAGGGUGGCCUCUACAUGUAAGCUACUGUUUGNAGAUGAGCCCGCGUACCAUUAGCUUGUUGGUGGGGUAAUGGCCUACCAAGGCGACGAUGGUUAGCUGGUCUGAGAGGAUGAUCAGCCACACUGGAACUGACACACGGUCCAGACUCCUACGGGAGGCAGCAGUGAGGAAUUUUGCGCAAUGGGCGAAAGCCUGACGCAGCANCNCCNCGUGAGUGAUGNAGGCUUUCGGGUCGUAAANCUCUNUCAAGUGGGNAGAACCUAUAUAAUGUUAAUACCAUUAUAUAUUGACGGUACCACUGAAGGNAGCACCGNCUAACUCCGUNCCANCAGCCGCGGUAAUACGGGGGUUGCAANCGUUAUUCGGAAUCAUUGGGCGUAAAGAGCACGUAGNCGCCCUGGUAAGUCAGAUGUGAAAGCCCGGGGCUUAACCUCGGAAGUGCAUUUGAUACUNCCAGGCUUGAGUAUGGGAGAGGGAAGUGGAAUUCCUGGUGUAGAGGUGAAAUUCGUAGAUAUCAGGAGGAACACCGGUGGCGAAGGCGACUUCCUGGACCAAUACUGACGCUGAGGUGCGAAGGCGUGGGUACCANACAGGAUUAGAUACCCUGGUAG